rnacentral:rRNA from 1 species
AUUGAACGCUGGCGGCAGGCCUAACACAUGCAAGUCGAGCGGAGCGGCGGACGGGUGGGUAAUUAAUAGGAAUCUGCCUGGUAGUGGGGGAUAGCUUCCGGCAAGAGGCGCUAAUACCUACUACUAUCAGAUGAGCCUAGGUCGGAUUAGCUAGUUGGUGGGGUAAAGGCCUACCAAGGCGACGAUCCGUAACUGGUCUGAGAGGAUGAUCAGUCACACUGGAACUGAGACACGGUCCAGACUCCUACGGGAGGCAGCAGUGGGGAAUAUUGGACAAUGGGCGCAAGCCUGAUCCAGCCAUGCCGCGUGUGUGAAGAAGGUCUUCGGAUUGUAAAGCACUUUAAGUUGGGAGGCGUUACCAACAGAAUAAGCACCGGCUAACUUCGUGCCAGCAGCCGCGGUAAUAC